AUCUCUUUUUCAUAUUUUGUUUUUUAAUUCGAUUAUGUGCUCCACCAUGAGUGAAAUAUACCAUAUUGAUGGGGACUCGAAAGCUUCUAUGUCAAUAUGAUUUUUUUUACAAAGAAGUAUAUCUGACAAGUCAAAGUUUUAAAUAGCAAUGUCUUGGUAAGUUUGACUUAUUUUGUUUGACACAAUAAAUGUAGUUAAGAGGAGCUAUUGUCUCUAAUUUUUGUGUGGUAAAGUGACUUUCAGUAAAGGCUGAAAGAGCUAUAUAUUGGCAGUAUUAUGUUUAUUCCAUUUUGGAUUCGAGUGUUUGACUUAUUUUAUUUGGCACAAUAAAGGUGGUCGAGGGGAGCUGUUGUCUCUAAUUUUGGUAUGUUGAAGUGACUUUCGAUAAAGGCUGAAAGAGCUAUAUAGUUUAGAGUACGUACUGUAGAUUGUUGCAAGUAAUGUUCUAAGAAACAUGUUUACUCUAACAUAGCGUUUAGCCUGUAAGCUGGAGACACUACUUUGUCUUCUUAAAUGCAUAAGAUAAUUGGUACUCAGCUAUUCUGUUUUGAAUUUUAAUUCUUAGAACGUCAAAUAACUUUUGGUUGAGCGAAGAAGAUUCUUCCAGUUUAAAAAUACCUCUUUCGUGUAAAUGUUCAAUUGAAAACUCAUUUAUAUCAUUGACUUGUUUCAAGUAUACUGAGCACUAUUUAAUAUGUUUCUUGAAUAUGUUGACGUGGAUCUCAUCACAACUGGAGUAUCUACAAGUGAAAAUAUGAAGGGAGAAUUUGGUGUUCACCACCUGCAACACCUUAGUUGCUGGAGUUGACCAUCUAUCUCAUGAAUUUAAGGAUGUCAUUAUGGGAUUCUGGCCCUCCACAUGCUCUACUCCGAUACAAAUAUCUAAUGACAGUGUCAUUUGCUGGUUUGGCUAGCAAAGUUAAGCUUCGCGUGGACUGUCCACAAAUGAAGAAAACCUGUGAUGUUUGUGGCAGAAAGACCCAAACAAGAAUGCUGAUUUUGAACUCUGUGUAGACUGUCCUUCAACUUUAUAAUGCUGGUGAUCCGACUUGAUUUUGUUUUGUUUGUAAACAGCUAAAAGGCCCCUAACAAAAGUUACUCAUGUAUCUUGUAUUAACUUUUAUUUUUGUGCAAUUUCAUAUCAGAAAAAGGUUUAUAGAAAAAGAAAGUUCAACAUGGUAUAUAA